GCGUGCGCCGGCAACCAUGAACUUUCUGCUCACUUGGAUCCACUGGGGGCUGGCGGCGCUGCUCUAUCUGCAGAGCGCGGAGGCAGCGCGGUGUGCAGACCUGCCCUAUAAAUCUGUCCGUUUCUGGAGUCCGGAGGGCUGUGUUGCCAAGAGAUAUUAAGGGGUUUAGACAGAGUGCCCACGUGAAAGUGGCCGUGCGCCGGGUAGGCAUGGAUUAUGUUUAAGGCUGUAAGAGGCCAACGCUCCCCACACCGCUCCUCUGCUCUUGCAGGGAAUGUGGGCCACAUCAUCUCCCACAGACAUGAAAAUAAAGGUCGCCUGCAAGCUGCUUGGUUAUUCACAUUGUUUGUUCAGCACGGAUGCUGGAAGUUGUCGAAGGCUGCUCCGGCCCUGGGGGAUGGGGAGCGGAAGCCCAAUGAAGUUAUCAAAUUCCUGGAAGUCUACGAACGCAGCUUCUGCAGGACAAUUGAGACCCUGGUGGACAUUUUCCAGGAGUACCCUGAUGAGGUGGAGUACAUAUUCAGGCCAUCCUGUGUGCCUCUGAUGAGAUGUGCGGGUUGCUGCGGCGAUGAGGGCCUAGAAUGUGUCCCUGUGGAUGUGUACAACGUCACGAUGGAGAUCGCAAGAAUUAAACCCCAUCAGAGUCAGCACAUAGCGCACAUGAGCUUCUUACAGCACAGUAAAUGUGACUGCAGACCAAAGAAAGAUGUCAAAAAUAAGCAAGAAAAGUGGGCACAGAAACCCAGAUCUGACGGUCCUUCCUACAUACCCCAGACCUGGAGCUUGCAUGACCCACAACCAUGGCAGUCAUUCCUAAUGCUUUACCCCGAGUCAGGGAAGUCCCGUCGUGUGUGUCCUACCAGAAUGGAUUCAAGGUGCAGCCCCCAUUCUCCCUUGCCUCCUCCUGGGAUAUUUUCUGGUUACUGCAUAUCGCUGCCUUUCUUUAUUAAUUUUUUUUUCUUGCUGCUUGAGUGAGGACUUACUCGCUUCUUUCAUGGCAGCCUGGGUAGGAGCUCUGCUGGCUUCAGGGAGAGGUGGCAGUGGAGGCCUGGUGGAGGCAGGACUGAUGCCAUGCACGAUGUGAUGCUGUUUUUGGUUGGGUGGGUGCCUGGGAGGGCGUAAAGGAGGUUGAUGUCCUAACUGGGACUUGGUGGAGACUUUCAAGAGAGUUUUUUUUGAGCUGAUGGAUUUGCUCUGGUGACCUGAAGAAGAUUAAGGCACAACCUUCCCUUUCUUUCCUUCCCAAAGUAAAAAGGUUGUGGAAAGGAGAUUAAAAAGAAAUAAAAAGCUCUCGUCCUGCACUAGUUGCAGGAACGAUCACAAAACGUGGAACAGCAUGGACAAAAAGUGACCUCUCUGGACAAGAGGGUCAGCUGGACUGCGCAUGGCUGGGAUAGUGACUCUGCUGUUUAGAGGUGCGGAGUUGGAGAGGAAAGGGGUAAAUACUGGGAGAUGAGGCUGAAACAGAGAGCAAGUGAAAGAGAGGGAACGUCAUUCACCCCUUUCCUGGUGGUUGUGGAUUUCUAGCUGCCUUCCAGCCUCUCCUCCUCCCCCUGGAAAACUGCUCGUGGCUGCAUCAGGCUGCGUGCAGCCAACGCUCCCCUGUAUGCAGGGCCGUGUUGGGGACGGUCAUCUGCGUGGCUCCAUGGUUUGAAGGUGUGUGAGUUGGGUCUGUGUGAGCUCUGGUGAGGAUGGGGUGUGGGUGAAGCAGCCAGCCCAGACUGCGUUGCAUUCCCUUUCCUCUUCUAACAGCACCUUGACUGCUCUUUGCUGGUUCUGCACUCCCUGGGGAAGGAAGGGAAGGGAUGGGAGAGAUUGGUACGCUUUGAUUUAUUCUGGUUUGAAAGUCCUGUUAUAAAUCUUCAGCCUUCAGAUUGAUUUUCCUCUCCCUCACCACCUCCCCAUGUUUCCUGACAUGUAGGGCAGCAGCUGGGAGUGAGCUGAUGCUCUGAUACGACCCAUCAAGAAGACUGAAGCAGGCCUAAGGAACACCUGUGGUGGUGUUCCUUUCUGUCCCCCUACUCUCCCUUGGCAGCCCCCUCCCAAGAUGGGCUGCCCUCAGGCAGAGUGGGGAAGGAUUGAGGAUGCUGGGCUGCUUUAGGGCUCACAUGUCUAACAAACACUGGUGCUUGCCCCAGGGCCUUCUCACAUGCCUGUCCUUUGCUGCUAUGCUGAUGUAGCUCAAGGAGCAAUGCAGGCUCCAGCCUCCCCCUGCUCUGUGCUUUCACUGGGCUACAGAGAUCCAUGGUUAGUGUCCCGGCUUGCAUGUCCCAGCCCCUGCCUGUCUCACCUCCUGCCUGAAAAAUCAGGAGCAUCAGGUGAAUUUUUAAGAGGGUGCUUUGGCUCCGUCCGCUUGUCUGUCUGUCAGAUCUAUGUGGAAAGCAAAAGUAGAGAAGGGCUGGAUGGAGGAGGAAAGAAAGGAAAAUCUGAAAGCUGCUUGCAGUUACCAUCUCCUGGGUGUCCGAACUGGGCCAGACCUCUCUAUUCAUCCUCAGAUGCUCAUUACGGAAGAUGCUGAUGGUGUGUGAGCAGAAAGUGAAGUCUUCCUGAGCCCACUAAGCCACAGACAGUGGUAGGGUGGAUGAGCAGAGUUUUCAGGCUGCAUUCCCUCGCUCCCAUGCGGCAGCACUGCUCAGAACAGGCCUCAACCCUUGUCCCCAGCAUACUGAGCCCAGGGCCCCAUUGCUCCAAUCCCAAGGCAGGAUGAUUGCCAUCCCUGCAGUGGGGCUGCUGGGUGUCCCCUCCUCGCCAUCAGAUCAUGGCAGUUUCUUUUUCUCCAUGUCAGCCAGUGUGAGCCUGAGCUUGUCACCAGAGCUGGUUGUCUGUGCUCGCUGCAGUUGCGUGAUGCUUUCACCAGGCUUCCUGAUUCCUUCCCCUCUCCACUGCCCCUCUGCCCCUCCCCAGAGGUGUGGGUACCCACAGAGGCCCGUGGAUGCUGGCAGCCCUACAUGGAGGUGGCCUCGCUGUGUCCCUGGUGCUGGCUUGGCUGCGGGCAGGCUGGUGGCGGUGCUGCAGGAGGGCCAGAGUGUGUGUGUGCAAGGUGGAGGUCUGUGCUUUGCUCCGGGACUUGCCUUCCAAUCCUGCCUCAUGUGCUUUCCCCUCCCAGCAAGGCACAUGGCUGUGUUUUUUUUUUCUCUUCUUCCUUGCGUUUUCUUCUGUUUUCUCUCUUGCUUUCCCUCUCUCUUUCCUUCUCUCUCUCUUUCUCUGUUUUUUUUUUGUUUUGUUUUUCUUCCAGAAAAUCAAAGCGAGGAAAGGGGAAGGGUCAAAAGAGAAAGCGCAAGAAAGGCCGGUACAAACCACCCAGCUUAUGUGAAAAACCGAGACGGUGAGCAGCGGAAAAGAAGGGGGAACAGCCCUGUUUCUGGAGCCUGAUUUCUCGCCUGGACAGAAAAAUACAAAACAAAACACUAAUCCAAAUGAACCCUAAAAAUGAAGGAUCGGUAGAGCACAGCACUUUCAGUACGGACGAUGGACUCCGGAAGGAACAUUCCCCAAGGCACCCGCCGCACAGAAUUCACCUUUGGGUUUUGAACUGUUUUAUUUUAUUUUAUUUUAUUUUAUUUUAUUUGGUUUUUUUUGUUUCAUGCUGCUAAAUAACAGAGCCAGGAAGACUAUAGGGGUGUAUUUGAUGGGUUUUCCCAUGCAUACAUAUAUAUGUGUGUAUACAUGCAUAUACAUAUAUAUAUAUGUAUAUAUAUUUUAACCACAUCUAUAUAUACAUAUAUGUAUAUCUUAACCACACACACACACACACACACACACACACAUAUAUAUAUAUUAUAUAUAUAUAUAUAUAUACAUAUAUAUAUAUAUACUGAUUAUUUUUUUUUAACAUUGCUAAUGUUAUUGGUGUCUUCACUGGAUAAUACUCGACUGCUGUGGACACAAGCGGGCUACUUGGGGCAUAAGAAACAAGCUAAGACUGGACUUGAGUAGAAGCGCUGGGUGUAAACUUCUUAACUCUAACUGACCUGUGCGGCCUCCGCUGUUUCUCUGUAGAGUGUGCUGUACCACAAACCACCUUCUCCUUGCCUGGGACAGGGAGGAGAGGUGAUGGAGAGGAUGGGCAGGGAGUUCCAAAGAGCGGCAUCCUAGGGUGCGAUGGGUCAAAGGCCAAGGAAAUGGCCAUCUGCGUGAUCAAGGAUUCCUCCUCCCCUCUCUUCCCCCAACCUUCGCCCUUACUCGUCUCAUAACCUGCCUGCCUUGCUGGGACACGGGAUGUCAGUGUACAUUUUGCGUUGACUUUAUUCGCUCUAGAAACUUUGCCAGAGAGAACAUGCUGGCUUCUCUUAAGGAUGGUGGGCAGCUGAUGCACACUAACUUUCCCUUCAAGAAAGUAUCACAGGAGUCUAGAUUUACCCGCCCUUGGUGGCUGCAAAAGGACACAAGGCCUGCAGUGUGAUGAAGCAAGAAUGGGGACCGGUGCCUGGCCACACAAUUGUUCAGCACUGUCUGCUUUCUUCAUGCACAGAGCUGCCACUCAAGAGCAUCCAAGAUGCUUACGGAACAUUUCUGGAAAGGGAUAUUAAUCAAAAGUAUAUGCACAGUAGGGGUGUGUGUGUGUGUAGGUGAAUGUGUGCAUUUGUGUCUGUGUGCAUGUAUGUUUGUGUUUUUCUCUCUUUUUUAUAUAUAUAUAUUUAUUUUUUAUACAUAUAUAUAUAUAAAAAAUAAUAUAUAUGUAUGCCAAGAUGGAAGGGGGGGACAAAGAAAGCAACUUUUGCUGCCUUCUGUUUGCACGUCCAAACCUUUGGGAACGUCAAGGUUCUUUUAAUGACGUAAAUAGCAUAACUACCAGGCUCCUUUUUCCACCUCUUGGUCUGGGAAUGAAAUGUGAAGGCAGCCGGAAUCCCUAAGCCAUGCCUUAGAAUCUUGGCUAUGUGUGUAUCUGCGAUAUACUCUGCGGUGUAUGUGGAACCCACCUUACACACGCGCACACGCACACACACCCCUGAAAGCGUGUUUGUACAUCUAUGUGGAUAUAUAUAAUCUAGUUCUGUGAUUAAAAUUAUUAAUAAUAAUAAUCAUCAUCAAAAAGGUACUCGGUCUGUGUCAGAAAUCUGCCAAACAUCAUCCGCAAUUGAAUUUUCAACGCCUGAUAAUGUACAACACGGAAAGCUUCCAAAAAGAGACAAGACAGUCUAAGAACAGACUCACAACAAGUGACUACUAACCACUAGGAACUCCCCAUCCGAGUGAUGACUUUCAGGAGAGCACACGGGUGGGUGCUUGCAUCUGCAAUGUAUAAUACUCAUGCUGCAUCGUGCGCAAGACAGAGGCUUCCGAUGGGGGGGAGGGAAGAGAAAGUGUUUUAUAUACUUAUUUAAUAUCCCUUUUUAAAUUAGAAAUUAAACAGAUAAUUUAAUUAAAGAGUAGGGAUUUUUCAGUAUUCUUUGUUAAUAUUUAAUUUGAACUAUUUAUAAGCCGUACCUCUUUUUUUUUUUUUUUUUUUUUUUUUUUUUUUUUCCCCCUUUUUUCCUUUUUUUUUUUUUUUUAUUUGUACUGGUUGUGUAUAAAUUUAACUUUCCUGUUGUCCCAUCCCAUCUCUCCCCAAUUGUUGGCAGAGUCAGUAGCAUGUUAUGGGCAGUUAUUUAAUUAAUUUCUCUAACACCUACCCCUACACAUUCCUAUUGAGACAAAGGUUAGAUAUACAUCUACAUACUAUAUAUAUAUUUGGCUAUGUGUUUGUAUAUAUAUAUAUAUGUUUAUGUAUAUGUGUGAUUCGGAUGAAAUAGACGCUACGAUUUUUUUAUAUAUGUAAAAAGAAGAGACAGGAAAAAAUAGAAAAUUCUACAUCUUGAAUCUCUCUCCUUUUUAAUUUUAAUAUUUGUUAUCAUUUUAUUUAUUGGUGCUACUGUUUAUCUGUAAUAAUUGCGGGGAAAAAAGAUAUUAACACUA